AGGACUGUAGCUCAGUGGUAAGGCAUCUGCCUUGCAUGCAGAAGGUCCCAGGUUCAAUCCCAGGCAGUUCCA